AUGAAUAUUUUUAUUCCCAUCUGGCCAACCCUUACCCUAAUGAGGAAGUCAAGGAGGAGCUGGCCAAGAAGUGCGCCAUCACUGUUGCUCAGAUAGCCAACUGGUUUGGAAACAAGAGGAUUUGGUAUAAGAAGAAUACUGCAAAGUUCCUGGAGGAAGCUAACCUUUAUGCUACGAAGACAGCGACAAGUGUGUCUUCGCUUUCCAGCCAAGCCAACUCUCCAGCUACACCAAACUCAAGAGCAUACCCAGCAAUAUUUACCCCACCUGAUGGGAGGCUUUGAGGAGUCACUGGAGGUGCUGUUCUUCAUCCUCUCUGUCUCCAUGUGAGUAGUUAGUCUAACACAUUGCUGUUCUAGCCUCAUCUGCUAGAUGUAGAGUAAGAAACAAGGUCAAAGAACAACCACUUGCUUUCUGCAGAGACCUUUGUUUGUGUGUCCCAGGUGCUAUAGCCACUGUACCCAUAUUGCACUGCACUGGCGAGUUUGAACCCCUUUUAGGG